rnacentral:rRNA from 1 species
GGGUUCUACCGUUGGUCGGGCUUUGUCUGUACUGGCGUGUAGAAUUUCUACCUUCUGGGGAACCAUCAUGUUAUUAAUUUAACGUGGUGGGAAACCAGGACCUUUACCUUGAAAAAAUUAGAGUGUUCAAAGCAGGCUUAUGUCUGAAUACAUUAGCAUGGAAUAAUAAAAUAGGACGGUGGUCCUGUUUUGUUGGUUUCUGAAUCACCGUAAUGAUUAAUAGGGAUAGUUGGG